rnacentral:rRNA from 1 species
GACGAACGCUGGCGGCGUGCCUAAUACAUGCAAGUAGAACGCUGAAGAGAGGAGCUUGCUCUUCUUGGAUGAGGUGCGAACGGGUGAGUAACGCGUAGGUAACCUGCCUUGUAGCGGGGGAUAACUAUUGGAAACGAUAGCUAAUACCGCAUAACAAUGGAUGACACAUGUCAUUUAUUUGAAAGGGGCAAUUGCUCCACUACAAGAUGGACCUGCGUUGUAUUAGCUAGUAGGUGAGGUAAUGGCUCACCUAGGCGACGAUACAUAGCCGACCUGAGAGGGUGAUCGGCCACACUGGGACUGAGACACGGCCCAGACUCAUACGGGAGGCAGCAGUAGGGAAUCUUCGGCAAUGGGGGCAACCCUGACCGAGCAACGCCGCGUGAGUGGAGAAGGUUUUCGGAUCGGAAAGCUCUGUUGUAAGUCAAGAGCGGGUGUGAGAGUGGAAAGUUCACGCUGUGACGGGAGCUUACCAGAAAGGGACGGCUAACUACGUU